GAUGAACGCUGGCGGCGUGCCUAAUACAUGCAAGUCGAGCGAACAGACGAGGAGCUUUCUCCUCUGACGUUAUCGGCGGACGGGUGAGUAACACGUGGAUAACCUAACUAUAAGACUGGGAUAACUUCGGGAAACCGGAGCUAAUACCGGAUAAUAUAUUGAACUGCAUGGUUCAAUAGUGAAAGACGGUUUUGCUGUCACUUAUAGAUGGAUCCGCGCCGCAUUAGCUAGUUGGUAAGGUAACUGCUUACCAAGGCGACGAUGCGUAGCCGACCUGAGAGGGUGAUCCGCCACACUGUAUCUGAGACACAUUCCAGACUCCUACGGGGGGACGCAGUAGAGAAUCUUCCGCGAUGGAGCAAAGCCGGACGUUGCAACGUCGCGUGAGUGAUGAUGGUCUUCUGAUCCUAGAACUAUGUAAUUAGUAAAGAUCAAAUGUGUUUGUAACUAUGAUCGUCUUGACGGUACCUAAUCAGAAAGCCACGGCUAACUACGUG
rnacentral:rRNA from 1 species